AGAAUGACUCUCGGCAACGGAUAUCUAGGCUCUUGCAUCGAUGAAGAACGUAGCGAAAUGCGAUACUUGGUGUGAAUUGCAGAAUCCCGUGAACCAUCGAGUCUUUGAACGCAAGUUGCGCCCGAUGCCAUUAGGUUGAGGGCAUGUCUGCCUGGGCGUCACAU
rnacentral:rRNA from 1 species